ACUGCAAGUCGAGCGGACAGAAGGGAGCUUGCUCCCGGAUGUUAGCGGCGGACGGGUGAGUAACACGUGGGUAACCUGCCUGUAAGACUGGGAUAACUCCGGGAAACCGGAGCUAAUACCGGAUAGUUCCUUGAACCGCAUGGUUCAAGGAUGAAAGACGGUUUCGGCUGUCACUUACAGAUGGACCCGCGGCGCAUUAGCUAGUUGGUGAGGUAACGGCUCACCAAGGCGACGAUGCGUAGCCGACCUGAGAGGGUGAUCGGCCACACUGGGACUGAGACACGGCCCAGACUCCUACGGGAGGCAGCAGUAGGGAAUCUUCCGCAAUGGACGAAAGUCUGACGGAGCAACGCCGCGUGAGUGAUGAAGGUUUUCGGAUCGUAAAGCUCUGUUGUUAGGGAAGAACAAGUGCAAGAGUAACUGCUUGCACCUUGACGGUACCUAACCAGAAAGCCACGGUUAACUACGUGCCAGCNGCCGCGGUAAUACGUAUGUGGCAAACGUUGUCCCGAAUUAUUGCGCGCAAAAGGUUCCAAUNACGCUUCUUAACUCUAAAGUGAAAACCCCUCACA
rnacentral:rRNA from 2 species